AAAUUGAAGAGUUUGAUCAUGGCUCAGAUUGAACGCUGGCGGCAGGCCUAACACAUGCAAGUCGAACGGUAACAGGAAGCAGCUUGCUGCUUUGCUGACGAGUGGCGGACGGGUGAGUAAUGUCUGGGAAACUGCCUGAUGGAGGGGGAUAACUACUGGAAACGGUGGCUAAUACCGCAUAACGUCGCAAGACCAAAGAGGGGGACCUUCGGGCCUCUUGCCAUCAGAUGUGCCCAGAUGGGAUUAGCUUGUUGGUGAGGUAACGGCUCACCAAGGCGACGAUCCCUAGCUGGUCUGAGAGGAUGAUCAGCCACACUGGAACUGAGACACGGUCCAGACUCCUACGGGAGGCAGCAGUGGGGAAUAUUGCACAAUGGGCGCAAGCCUGAUGCAGCCAUGCCGCGUGUAUGAAGAAGGCCUUCGGGUUGUAAAGUACUUUCAGCGGGGAGGAAGGUGUUG
rnacentral:rRNA from 1 species